rnacentral:rRNA from 1 species
UACAGAGGGUGCGAGCGUUAAUCGGAAUUACUGAGCGUAAAGCGUGCGUAGACGGUUAUUUAAGUCAGAUGUGAAAGCCCCGGGCUCAACCUGGGAAUUGCAUUUGAGACUGAAUAGCUAGGGUGCGGUAGAGGGAAGCGGAAUUUCCGGUGUAGCGGUGAAAUGCGUAGAGAUCAGGAAGAACACCGGUGGCGAAAGCGCUCUGCUGGACCUUAACUGACACUGAGGGACGAAAGCUAGGGGAGCGAAUGGG